CCGCUCUUCCCCUGACCCCAG
rnacentral:miRNA from 1 species